rnacentral:rRNA from 1 species
UACGUAGGAUGCAAGCGUUGUCCGGAAUUAUUGGGCGUAAAGAGCGCGCAGGCGGUUCGUCAAGUCAGAUGUGAAAUAUCCCGGCUUAACCGGGAGGGGCCAUUUGAAACUGACGGACUAGAGUGGAGCAGAGGACAGUGGAAUUCCCGGUGUAGUGGUGAAAUGCGUAGAUAUCGGGAGGAACACCAGUGGCGAAGGCGACUGUCUGGGCUUUAACUGACGCUGAGGCGCGAAGGCCGGGGGAGCAAACAGG